UCGAGAGUCGGCCUCAUUUCCAUUGUACACAUUCGAAGAGCAAGUGACAAGUUAUACCCUUUUGUCAAAAUCGAUAAGUGUCGAUCAUCCGGAUCGAAAUUCCUUUGGUGCAAAUCCCAACUAAACCUGGAAAAGAAGGCGAAUCAGGACCCGAAACUUAAUAUCCCAUCGAAUUGGACCCGUAACGAGCCCCAAGGUGGAAUUGUUGAGUUUAGAUUGGAGAAAACUCACCAACCUUCGGGUUCCCGAGCCGUGCCCGGACCGGCGAAAGAGAUCCGAUAGUGUAUGGUACACGUGUAGGAGUAGUCUUCAGAGGAAUAAAGAUAGAGACCCAGCUGUGAUCCACUUUUCUGCUACCAACACACCCGCGAGAGCCUUAUCUUAACGCCCACGGCGCGCGUUGCAUGGUACCAACGUAGAAAGGAGAGCCCGCCACGUUCCCGUCCCAUCUGUGCUGACCAGCCAGGAAACCAACCCCCCUUACCGUCGCCACAAGGUAACCUAGAAUUAGCCAUACAGUGACACUGAUACACACCCACACAGCUUGUAUAAAUUUAAGGUUAUUAAACGUUAAAAGUAUAA